rnacentral:rRNA from 1 species
AUUGAACGCUGGCGGCAGGCCUAACACAUGCAAGUCGAGCGGAUGCAGGGAGCUUGCUCCUGGAUUCAGCGGCGGACGGGUGAGUAAUGCCUAGGAAUCUGCCUGGUAGUGGGGGAUAACGUCCGGAAACGGGCGCUAAUACCGCAUACGCCCUGAGGGAGAAAGUGGGGGAUCUUCGGACCUCACGCUAUCAGAUGAGCCUAGGUCGGAUUAGCUAGUUGGUGGGGUAAAGGCCUACCAAGGCGACGAUCCGUAACUGGUCUGAGAGGAUGAUCAGUCACACUGGAACUGAGACACGGUCCAGACUCCUACGGGAGGCAGCAGUGGGGAAUAUUGGACAAUGGGCGAAAGCCUGAUCCAGCCAUGCCGCGUGUGUGAAGAAGGUCUUCGGAUUGUAAAGCACUUUAAGUUGGGAGGAAGGGCAGUAAGUUAAUACCUUGCUGUUUUGACGUUACCAACAGAAUAAGCACCGGCUAACUUCGUG